ACCCCUGCAAGUAGACAACCAACUUUCCAUUUCAUUUGGAAGGCCUCCGAAAAUACCUCCUCGGGUUGCUAGCAGAUUGUUGAACACUGACCACUUCCAUCCACCACCUGUUCCUCCAAGAGGUCGUGAUAAGUUAGACUAAAUCUUUGGGAUAUUAAAACUAAAACAUGAGGAAACAGAACUUUUAUUCUUCAGAAUGACUUUUGAAUGGUUAUGCUGUAACUCUAAUCAGCAUAUCAGUUCACUCCUGUCAAUCUCAGAUGAUCAAUUCUGGUAGAAUUUACUCUAAAAAUUGCCAAGGGUAAAUGAACAAAUUAAGCAUUUAGAACAAAUAAACUGUUAGAUUAUGAAGAAAUGAUAUGUUGAACUUAUUAGAAUUCUUAGAUUCUAAUUACACCAAACUAAAGGUGUCUCAAUCAUUUCUCACAUAUUCCUAAACUUUAGAAGGGAGUAGCUACCAGCAAAUAUUUGUUGUCUGUUUAUCUGCAAAUAAAGUAGCUAUGAUGCUGCCCUGAAAACAAAUUUAUUCUGUUGCAGAUAGCGAAACUAGAGUGCCUUGUAUUGAGCAGUGCAAUUCAUUUGAAACUUGUCUAAUUUCUAAUGAUUUUAUGAUAAUUUCCUAUUCAGAAUUGUCUGAUGCCUCUGGUUGCUGUUCCAGUAAUACAAUACUGAGAAAUUGAGGAUAUCAUAUCUUAAAUCAAACAGUCUCCAUUGUCAUCUAUAUGAGUCUUGAAUCUGUAUUAUUUCUGUGGGAAUAUGCCAAGAAGUACUUAGCAGACCAUGAAUGUAAAGAAACUCGGUUCUUAUUUCUGUACUUCAAUAAAAAUUGCGCACCAAU